rnacentral:rRNA from 1 species
GCUAGAGUAUGGGAGAGGAUGGUAGAAUUCCAGGUGUAGCGGUGAAAUGCGUAGAGAUCUGGAGGAAUACCGAUGGCGAAGGCAGCCAUCUGGCCUAAUACUGACGCUGAGGUACGAAAGCAUGGGGAGCAAACAGGAUUAGAUACCCUGGUAGUCCAUGCCGUAAACGAUGUCUACUAGCCGUUGGGGCCUUUGAGGCUUUAGUGGCGCAGCUAACGCGAUAAGUAGACCGCCUGGGGAGUACGGUCGCAAGACUAAAACUCAAAUGAAUUGACGGGGGCCCGCACAAGCGGUGGAGCAUGUGGUUUAAUUCGAUGCAACGCGAAGAACCUUACCUGGCCUUGACAUACUAAGAACUUUCCAGAGAUGGAUUGGUGCCUUCGGGAACUUAGAUACAGGUGCUGCAUGGCUGUCGUCAGCUCGUGUCGUGAGAUGUUGGGUUAAGUCCCGCAACGAGCGCAACCCUUUUCCUUAUUUGCCAGCGGGUAAUGCCGGGAACUUUAAGGAUACUGCCAGUGACAAACUGGAGGAAGGCGGGGACGACGUCAAGUCAUCAUGGCCCUUACGGCCAGGGCUACACACGUGCUACAAUGGUCGGUACAAAGGGUUGCUACCUCGCGAGAGGAUGCUAAUCUCAAAAAGCCGAUCGUAGUCCGGAUCGCAGUCUGCAACUCGACUGCGUGAAGUCGGAAUCGCUAGUAAUCGCGGAUCAGAAUGCCGCGGUGAAUACGUUCCCGGGCCUUGUACACACCGCCCGUCACACCAUGGGAGUUUGUUGCACCAGAAGUAGGUAGUCUAACCGCAAGGAGGACGCUUACCACGGUGUGGCCGAUGACUGGGGUGAAGUCGUAACAAGGUAGCCGUAGGGGAACCUGCGGCUGGAUCACCUCCUU